rnacentral:tRNA from 1 species
GGUAUAGCUUAGUGGUAGAGCACAUGCUGAGCAUGUGUUAGGUCCUGGGUUCAAUCCCUAGGACCA